UUGUUUGCCAUUUCUACCGACGGUCAAAAGUGGGGGCCAGCAUGUGCAGAUACGUGUGAUGGUCAAUGCCGUAAAAAACACUGCAAUAAGGAUGAAUACGAGUCAAAUAAUCAUUACUGCAAGGACGAUUGUGAUGCCCAAAAUGGUCGGAUAUGUUGUGUGAAAGACGAGCCAGUAAUUAACUGCGAAUCAGACUGUGGUGGUACAUGUCGUAAACAUUGCAAACGUGGCGAACAAGAUGCGGAACCCGUAGAUGAGUGUGUUGAAAGUUGUCCAACGGAUUAUAGGUGUUGUGUGCCAGAUGAGGAAGCGUGUAAAAAUGAUUGUAAUGGCCAGUGCCGUAAAAAUCACUGCAACAGAGAUGAAUACGAGACUAAUGAACCAAGCUGUGUAAAAGAUUGUGACGAUAAAAAAGGUCGGAUAUGCUGUGUUCCAG